ACUUUCCAGUUCGUAGCCUGAUUUGCAAAGGCUAAUGGCUGGUGACUUUUUAGUCACCAGCCU
rfam:Plesiomonas shigelloides 302-73 genomic scaffold scaffold00012, whole genome shotgun sequence.